rnacentral:rRNA from 1 species
GUAUGGAAGGUGAUGCCUGCCCGGUGACUUAGUUAAACGGCCGCGGUAUCCUAACCGUGCAAAGGUAGCGCAAUCAGUUGUCCCGUAAAUCGGGACUAGUAUGAAUGGCUAAACGAGGUCCUAACUGUCUCUUACAGGCAAUCGGUGAAAUUGAUCUCCCUGUACAAAAGCAGGGAUAACUCCAUAAGACGAGAAGACCCUGUGGAACUUUAAAAUCAGCGGCCACCCCAUAUUACUUACAAACCCACCUGGGCUCACUAUUCUAUGGGCCACUGGCUCGCAAUUUUUCGGUUGGGGCGACCUUGGAGCAAAACAAAACCUCCAAAUCUUGGACCAUAAAUCUAGACUAAGAGCAACCUCUCAACGUGCUAACAGCAACCAGAUCCAAUAUAAUUGAUCAAUGGACCAAGCUACCCCAGGGAUAACAGCGCAAUCUCCUCCGAGAGUCCAUAUCGACGGGGAGGUUUACGACCUCGAUGUUGGAUCAGGACAUCCUAGUGGUGCAGCCGCUACUAAGGGCUCGU